rnacentral:rRNA from 1 species
GAUGAACGCUGGCGGCGUGCUUAACACAUGCAAGUCGAACGGAAAGGCCCUGCUUUUGUGGGGUGUCCGAGUGGCGAACGGGUGAGAAACACGUGAGUAACCUGCCCUUGACUUUGGGAUAACUUCAGGAAACUGGGGCUACUCCCGGAUAGGAGCUCCUGAUGCAUGGGGGGGGUUGGAAAGUUUCGGCGGUUGGGGAUGGACUCGCGGUUUAUCAGCUUGUUGGUGGGGUAGUGGCAUACCAAGGCUUCGACUGGUAGCCGGCCUGAGUGGGGGACCGGCCACAUUGGGACUGAGAGACGGCCCAGAGUCCAAUGUGGGGCAUCGGUGGGAAAUCUUGCCCAAUGGGCGGAAGCGUGAGACGGCGACGCCCCGAGCGGGAUGCCCGCCAUGUGGUGGUAAACCGCAUUCGCCUAGUACGAAGCGUGAGUGACGGUACUAGCUGAAGAAGCACCGGCUAACUACGUG